rnacentral:lncRNA from 10 species
UGGAUUCUCAGAAAAGGGGGGAAGCCAUCGAAGAGCUAAAGGUGAUUAGAGGGGGAUAUUGAUUUCUUAUUCUGCCAGAGAUUUAAGCAGGCAUGCGAGGAAUCUGCACCAUGGUUGGCAAAAAGAGACCCGUUGCCUCCUGUAACCAGACACUCAGGCUUUCCAGGAGCCCAGGGAGCAAGCCGAGAAGAAAGGGGGCAGUGUGGUCUAGGAAAAUUCAACUUGUCGCUGAUUUGUGCCUGAUGCCUGCUGUCCGUCAGCAGCCUCCCUUACAAUCUUUUUUUCUCUCUCUCCUUUUUUUUUCCUUGCCUUCUCCUUCUUCACUGAAGCCUAGGGGAGCCAGUAAAGAUUAAAUGUGCUUCUCAAAGGCAGCCACUUCAUGCUGCUAUGUCGAAAGGGCCAUUAUUAUUAUUAUAUUUUAAUGGUAAAAGAGAAAAGGAGAGAGGUUGAGCGAGCGAGAGAGAAGCUAGGUGUGAUGAUGACAGACUAGCUUUUCUGAGAGGAAAAGGAAAAGGGAAGGGAGAGAAAAAGGAGAGCCUCUGAGCUCAACGGAGGAUUGUGCCUGAGAAGAACCCACAGAGGAAAGCCCCACUUCCAGUCUGAUGAGGAAAGCGACAAUCUAUCAGGUACAGAACCAGGGGCUGUCUGCGAAGAUGGAGGGGAAUUAUGCUUCGGAUUCCUCUGAAAUAUUGGCCAAAGGCUUCAAAGAAUCCGCAGCGGGAGGUGCGGGGGGAAUGUCUCUCCCCAGCCCGCACCCAGCCCUUCCCACUUCGUGUCUACCAAAUGACAGCCUGGUGCUCGCUCUUGGUGAUUUGGCCUUGACUUCAGCCAAGCAGCUGAUGCAGACGAAGCCUCCGUUUGCAGGACUGGCAAAGUGCACGCUAAAGAAAGAAGGAAGAAAUUUUUCAAAAAGCAGCUCUGGGGAGGUUUCAUACUCCCCCCCCCCCCCCGCCUUUUUUUAAUUUUUAAGUGAAUAUUUUCCAAAUUUGAUCAGUUCCAGCCCCUCCCUCCACUCCCACCCAACUGCCCUUUUUUCUCUCGUCAAAGCAUAAGCUACAGAGUUACAGUCUCGAGAUUUGGUGUAUCGCUUCCUGCCCCCGCCUCCCCUCCCCGCCCCCGUUCUCCGUCCUCUAUUGAAACACCUCGCCCAGCCUAGCGCACUGAGAGCUCUCAUUUUCCCCCCUUGCUCGGGAUGGUGCCACAGGAGGCUGUGCGGGCCCCGCUCCGCUUCGAAUGGUUGUGUUGAUGUUCCUUUCAGCUGGUCCUAUAGUACCCCUCCUCAGGAAUGUCUCCCCAGUGCAAGGACAAAGACUGAAGAGACUGCUAUAUUGAUGGACUCUCAAGCCAACUAUGAAGUUGAAACAAAGAAAGUGAUCACCUGAAGACACCUCCUCUGCUAAGAAACACCCCCAAAUUGUGCAGCUUCUGCCACUAGAACUCUCAGAACAAGAGACAAUCUUUUCAAGAAACAGAAAAACUCAAUAAUGACAUCUAGAUUUUCAUGAGCCAAGAACUUUCCCUUCCUCAUGUGUAUUCCUCUGUUUGUACUUAAAUUCAUGUGACAUUCAUUUUUUUCCUAGUAUGGAUAUGCUUAUUAAUGCACUUGUUUCAAAAUCCCAAAUUGCACAAAUGUGUUAAUAUUUUAAGAAACAAAAUGAAUCCUACAAGGAGAAUGAUUUUUAGCCACACAUAGGGUUGGAUCUUGAGAGUGACCUACAGAAUAAAAGUACUUUUAAAAUAAAGUAGUCAGAGGCUAUUCAAAGGGUAAAAUAAUCAUAGUACCACAUUGGUCCACUUGACACUAACCAAUCGAUCAUUUUUUUUUAAUCAAGAAAGCUAGAUUCUAUCAGAUAAAAUCACUGCUUCUAAAGAGUUUAAAUCUAGUUAGAAAAAGUUAUAGAAAUGUUUGCAAAGAUAAGUAACAGAUAGAGUCAGUAGAGGAUAAGAUCAAAAACAAAACCAAGCAAAAGAUGAGUUCAGGGGAGUUUGCCAUCAAGUUGGCAAAACUGACUUACUUAGGGAAGAAAGUUAUAAAACAGGAAAAUAUGAGAUGAACCUUGAGUGAUGUGGAAGAUUUAGAUAAAUGGAAAGGAAGGAGAAAAUGGAGUUCUUUAGGUGGUUGUAAUUGGAGGAGGAAAUGAAUACACACAUCUUGUUGACUUAAACCCAGACAUUCAGCAGCUCUCUAUACAUAUCUGGAAAAGACUGCACAGUCACCUCCUGUCUCUCACCCCAGGUAUUACUUAGAAUUAUUAUCAUAUUUCCCUUCCUUUAAAGUAAGUAAGGGUGAUUGGUGACAAUAUGGAGAACUAUGAUUUUUCCAUUAACCUAAUAAUAAUUGGUAUUUAUUGAGUUCUGUUAAGCAUUUUACAUAUUAACUCACUUAAGCCUUUCAACAGCCUUGCAAAAUAGGUAUUAUUAUCCCCAUUUUACAGGCAAGAAAACUGAGGUUUAAGUAACUUGCCGAAGUGCCAUAUACAGGGCUCACAUUCAGUAUUGCAGUUGCAAAGCUCAUGAUCUAUAGUGCCAAGUUGCAAUAUUGUAGUCAAUGUCACAAUUAUUACCCCUUUUUAUAUUCCUUGAUAUUUUUCCAUGGCAAACAAUUAGCUAUUUCAUUUAAUAAUCACCUAAAACUUUUCAGUCUUCUGAUUAAAAUUACGCUGGAGUGAUAGAAUGUAUUUUCAUGAUAGAAAUUGGGAAAAAAAAUGGGGAAUGAAGUUUAUCAGCAUUUCAGACUUGUUUUUUUUUUUUUUUUUUGCAAGACUUUGAUGAGAUUGUUCACUUUUGUCUAUGUAAAAUCCCAAAUCCUUGAGAAUAAAAAAGGGGGAGGUUUAAGUCACUUGUUGCAAUGCCCUUUUUAAUAGAGGCAAUAAAUCUAAAGGCCAUAAAUUUAGAGUGACUUACAGAAGAUCGAACUUUGGAGUGUGGCAGAGUAAGGGAUGGAAACCGGGCCCUCCAGUUCACUAUCAGUAGCUUUUGCACUGGUCUGCCCUUCCUAAAUUAAGUAUGCACUUCAAUUUGAUGAGUGGAAACAGUCUAUCUGGGCAGUAACCAGGGAGCUUUGUGCCUAGUAGAUUGCUUCUGUUCUGCACUUCUUUGGUUUCCCACCUCAAUGUAAAAAAUAGCUAGCAAUGAAGUCCAGAAGUUGUCAAUGGUUCAUCCCCAGAAGAAUGCAUAAUGUCCAAAGUUGUAUGUGUAUGAUGUCUUCAAUGGUAUUAAGUUAUUUCAAAUUCUUAGUUCACCUACAUAAAUCAUUUCUAACAAGCAUCUUCUUAACCAACUUUAUGCACAGUGUAUGUUUGUAAGUGCUUCUGCACGAAUGUUUAUACAUGACUGUUUCCAUAGUACUUAUGUUUUUAAAAAUAUUCAGUCAUUUCCUACUAUAAUCCUCAUGUAUCCAUGUAACUGACUCAAAAAUACUUCAGCCACAGAAAGCUAAAACUGAGCAAAUCUCAUUCUUCUUUUCCAUCCCCUUUGCAUGUGGCUGGCAUUUAGUAAUGAUUAAUAAUAUGGCCAGCUGAAUAACAGAGGUUUGAGACACAAUUCUUUCUCAAAGGAGUCAGCUAAGCUGGGUCUACUUAUGGACAAACAUCUAAAUGUGUGGAAGUAUCUGAUAUUUGACAAUGGUAAAUUUCCACUUAGCUAGCUAGCAUUGUCAGACUUCAAUCUCCUCAUGGCUCUGGCCGUCCUGUUUUAAGCAUGAUAAUUGUUGGCCACAUCUCACAUAGUUCUCAUUGAGUGAGUUCAUAAAUAAACAGGGUUUUUUUUUUUUUUUAAAGAGCAGCCAAGCACAAAGUGUGACUUUGUUGACAUUUUAUGUGACUUUGUCAUAUGUUCCUAACCCCCAAUAAAAGCAAUGUUGCAUCAACUGUGAAUUUGUGUUGAUUUCUUGAAAAAGCAUGCUCUUAUAAUUUAUUUGUUUUCACUAGUGUAUAUCAAAGUUAGUUUCAAGAUCCACGAGGAACAAGUCAGCUAAUGUGAUAGGAAAAUUUAAAUGUGGAGACAACUUCUAAAGGAUCCCAUGUUACCUUUAAAUAAAAGGUACUGUCAUCUACCAAGUCAGAAACCAAGGUCUGGUCCUUGUCUCUUCCAUCUCCGCCAGCCAUGGUCAAUCACUCAGGUAAUCUUUUGAUUUUUUUUCUCUUUCCAUUGUUCAAAUAUGUCUACUUCUCUCCAUCUAUGCUACUGCAUUAAAGAACAACACUCAUUUCUCACCUGGACUACAGCACCAUGCCUCCAGUUUUCCUCUCCACACUGCCAAGGGGCAGCCGGGGAAAUCUCUCUAAACCACGAAUAUGAUUGUAUUAUUCCAUGGCUUCAAACUCUUCACUGGCUUCCCAUUGCCCUUGAGAUAUCGUGACACCUAAAGCCCUUCAUGCCCUGAUCCUGGCUCCAACAGUCCUCUCUGGACUCAUCAACUCUUCAGCCCCUCUGUGAUUCUAGGCUCGUGCCAUCCACCUGCCUUUUCUUAAUGUUCCCUCUAUCUUCUGGGCUUUCUCACACACUUCAGCUUCUACCUAGUACUUUCUCCACUACACCUUCCAAACUCCAUCCCUCAUCCUUCACAUCCCAUCCUAGAAGUCAUUUUCUCUGGAAAGUUUUCACCCCAACCUCUACCAGCGCUAAGACUAGCUUCCCCACCUAGGCGCUUUCAUGUCAUUCUGAGCUUACCUCGUAUUAGCAUUUAUCUUCCAGUGUUGUGCUCAUAUUUGAAUAUGAGAUUCUAGAGCUGCACCAUUCAACAAGGUAGCCACUCAUCAUAUGUGGCUAUUUCAAUUUCAAUUAAUUAAUAUUAAGUAAAAGUAAAAAUUUAGUUCCUCAGUUGCAUUGCUCACAUCGCAAGUUCUCAAUAGCCACAUGCAACUGGUGGCCACUCUGUUGAACAGCACAGAUAUAGAACACAUCUAUCACUGAGAAACUUCCAUUGGAUAGUGCCACUCCAGAAGAUAAAUGCUAUGUUUUGCUUGUUAUUUUAUCCUCCAGACUUGCAGCCCUUUCUUAACUGGGGUUUGCUAUGUGAACCACAGAGAACAAAGAUAUGAUUUGAAUGCUAUUUCCUCAAUUCUCCCAAGAAUGAUAUAUUAAAAAUACAAUUUUACAUGCAAAGGAAGGAAAAUAAUUCAUCACGGGUAAAGACGCUCAGAGCAUUAGGGUUCAAUUCUAGCAUAAAACCCUGGUCAGGAAAGUCUACGAUAGCCUACCACAAUGCUUGGCAUCAAAAGUACUUCGUAAGUGUCCGCUGAAUGAAUAUCACACCUGGACACAUAAAGACAAUUAGUUUUCUUAAUUUUUACCUAGAUGUGUAAAGUCAUGUAGGAGACAUGUCUUUAGCUUCCAAAGGGCCCCUUCUCUAGAGAAUGUGAUAGACAAUUUUUUAAAAUUUCAUCCUAAGGAUAGGUGAAUUGUAUUGCAGCAAAAUAUUACCUAUUAUUUCACUUUCUUUUGACGUUAUACAGACCAAA